CCCUUAGAUGUUCUGGGCCGCACGCGCGCUACACUGAUACGCUCAUCAAGCUUACAACCUUGACCGAGAGGUCUGGGUAAUCUUUGAAAUCGUAUCGUGCUGGGGAUAGAUUAUUGUAAUUUUUAAUCUUCAACGAGGAAUUCCUAGUAAACGCAAGUCAUCAACUUGCGUUGAUUACGUCCCUGCCCUUUGUACACACCGCCCGUCGCUACUACCGAUUGAAUGGCUUAGUGAGCUCUAGGGACUGUUGCCUCGUGUUGGGUUUCCAGCACUAGGACGACGGGAACUAGAUCAAACUUGAUCAUUUAGAGGAAGUAAAAGUCGUAACA
rnacentral:rRNA from 1 species